rnacentral:rRNA from 1 species
AAACUAGAUACAAGCGAGCGGCGGACGGGUGAGUAACACGUGGGUAACCUGCCCAAGAGACUGGGAUAACACCUGGAAACAGAUGCUAAUACCGGAUAACAACACUAGACGCAUGUCUAGAGUUUGAAAGAUGGUUCUGCUAUCACUCUUGGAUGAACCUGCGGUGCAUUAGCUAGUUGGUAAGGUAACGGCUUACCAAGGCAAUGAUGCAUAGCCGAGUUGAGAGACUGAUCGGCCACAUUGGGACUGAGACACGGCCCAAACUCCUACGGGAGGCAGCAGUAGGGAAUCUUCCACAAUGGACGAAAGUCUGAUGGAGCAACGCCGCGUGAGUGAAGAAGGGUUUCGGCUCGUAAAGCUCUGUUGGUAGUGAAGAAAGAUAGAGGUAGUAACUGGCCUUUAUUUGACGGUAAUUACUUAGAAAGUCACGGCUAACUACGUGCCAGCAGCCGCGGUAAUACGUAGGUGGCAAGCGUUGUCCGGAUUUAUUGGGCGUAAAGCGAGUGCAGGCGGUUCAAUAAGUCUGAUGUGAAGGCCUUCGGCUCAACCGGAGAAUUGCAUCAGAAACUGUUGAACUUGAGUGCAGAAGAGGAGAGUGGAACUCCAUGUGUAGCGGUGGAAUGCGUAGAUAUAUGGAAGAACACCAGUGGCGAAGGCGGCUCUCUGGUCUGCAACUGACGCUGAGGCUCGAAAGCAUGGGUAGCGAACAGGAUUAGAUACCCUGGUAGUCCAUGCCGUAAACGAUGAGUGCUAAGUGUUGGGA